GACGGGGGAUGCAAGCGUUAUCCGGAAUCACUGGGCGUAAAGCGUCUGUAGGUGGUGAUGCAAGUCACUGGUGCAAAACUCUGGCUCAACCGGAGGAAAGCCAGUGAAACUGCAUGACUAGAGUGUGGGAGAGGUAGAAGGAAUUCCCUGGGUAGCGGUGAAAUGCGUAGAUACAGGGAAGAACACCGGAGGCGAAAGCGUUCUACCGGAACACAACUGACACUGAGAGACGAAAGCUAGGGGAGCGAAGGGG
rnacentral:rRNA from 1 species